rnacentral:misc_RNA from 1 species
GAUAAUGAUUUGGACUCUUUUAUGGCCGAAUAUUUUAUGGGCUGCAGUAAAGGAAAUCAAAAACCACUGACUGAUUGGCAAUUCGAAAAUAGAAUUUCCAGCACACUUGUCCAGAACUUAAUACUCAACGGCAGUUUUUGGGAUCUGAACAAAUGAUCCCCUUUGAUGAUCUCAUUCACAUUGCAGCUACGCUAAUCAGUAAGCCGACUAUCAAACAAGAUUUUCAACAAGAAAAAAUGCAGAAAUAGGGGGAGGAUUUUACUAACACAAAAAUAAUCAGAAGCUGGAAAAGGCAAGCCAGAACUAUGGCACAGUUUAAAUCAACAAUGGUUAUUCAAGAACUGAAUCAAUCGAGGGGAGGCAAUAUCCUGGAUGGGGAAACUCAAGCUAUGGCUAUAAAGCAAAGCACUGUUAAUGAGAAAAUGGAGCUGGAGAGAGCGCACAGAAAAGGAAGUACCCUACAGAGUAGAAUAAUCAAGCAAGCAAAAAAGCAAAUGUGGAUUUAAUUCAACAAGUGGUGGGGGAGGCCAGCCGGAAUUGGCCCCAACAGAAACAAUGGAGUUUCUUAGUUGGAAUUGUCUGGGUAUGGGGAACCCCCUGACAAUCCACAACUUAAAAGGGAUUUGUUUAUUCCAUUCUCCAAAUUUUGUUUUUCUCAUGGAAACAAAAAACACUUCUUGAGUGGUUAGAAGGAAAUUACAGCAUUUUUGGGUUUUUUGACAUGUUUUUUAUAGAUCCUAUGGGGUGGCU